ACUCCCUGGAGAGCCCCUCUCCCCUCUCAUCCACACUCAGACCAGAGGGCCCUCGGCCUGCCCCGCCCCCGCCAUGAGCCCCUGCCUCCUGGGCUGUGUGGUCUUCUGUCUCCUGCAGGCAGGGGCGGUCCACGCGGGUGUCACUCAGGACCCGAGAUUCCAGGUCGUGAGGACAGGACAGAGCACAACACUGAAAUGUACUCAAGAUCUGAACCAUGAUUAUAUGUGCUGGUACCGACAAGACCUGGGACAUGGGCUGAGGCUGAUCUAUUACUCAGCUGGUGCGCCCAGUAGCGAGCCGGGAGAUGUGUCCGAGGGUUACAGCGUCUCCAGAUCAAACAAGGAGAACUUCCCUCUGACGCUGAAGUCUGCCAUCCGCAACCAGACAUCUGUGUACUUCUGCGCCAGCAGUUAUUCCACAGCACUGCAUGGCCACCUCCUCUCUGUGCAAAAAGUAUUGGGUGCCCACGAUCAGGCUCCCAGCACCAGAAACCUUGGGCCUUUGGGGACCACGUGCCUGCAGUGUGACCCUGGGUGUGUGGACAACGCUGCCCCAGCCUCACUCCCAGGCCUCAGGGCCAUGUGUCCACCAUCGGUCUCUGUCUUUCCGCUGCAUCCUCACUGUGAACCAGGAAGAUGCUUCCCCAGCUCUGACUCCUAG